GGAGAUGAAUAGGUUCCUGGUGGACCUCGCGGCCUUCAAAGCCGUUGCGGGGCGCGCAGAACGUCUCGGGUGUGUUCGAUUCACACGCAUCUCCGCCA
rnacentral:tRNA from 2 species